UUCUGAUAAUGGACAUAGCG
rnacentral:siRNA from 1 species